UACGAAGGACCCGAGCGUUAUCCGGAUUUAUUGGGUUUAAAGGGUGCGUAGGCGGAUUUCCAAGUCAGUGGUGAAAUCCCUCAGCUCAACUGAGGAACUGCCAUUGAAACUGUUUAUCUUGAGUACAUUUGAGGCGGGCGGAAUGUGUCAUGUAGAGGUGAAAUUCUUAGAUAUGACACAGAACACCAAUUGCGAAGGCAGCUCGCUAAACUGUAACUGACGCUGAGGCACGAAAGCGUGGGGAUCAAACAGG
rnacentral:rRNA from 1 species